rnacentral:lncRNA from 1 species
CCCAGGCUAGGGGUCCAAUGGGAGCUGCAGCCGCUGGCCUACACCACAGCCACAGCCACGCGGGAUCCGAGCUGCCUCUGGGACCUGCACCACAGCUCACAGCAAUGCUGGAUCCUUACCCCACGGAUCGAGGCCAGGGAUCGAACCCACCUCCUCAUGGAUACUAGUAACAUUUGUUUCUGUUGAGCCAUGAUGGCAACUCUGAGAGGCCUGUUUUCAUCCCAGCCAGUGAGGGGUAGGUGGGGACGCUGCCCCAAAGGAGCAUUGUGGGGUGAGGACAAUUGAUAGAGCCACACUCUCCUCAGUCCCUGUCUCAACGGCUGGCUGUCACCAUACAGCAAUUCCUUUGCCAGCAGCUGUCCUUUCAGCCCCACCCUGGGGGACCUGACUGUCCCCAUGCUGUGGGGGAGCUCAAAUGACCCCUCACCAGCAGAGUUCAGCAGACCUCAGACCUGGGCCACGUGGCCCAGGAGAGAAGUGCAUAUAUUGAAAACAAACAUCUUAUGGAGUUCCCCUCGUGGCUCAGUGGUUCACGAAUCCGACUUGGAACCAUGAGGUUGUGGGUUCGAUCCCUGGCCUCACUCAGUGGGUUAACGAUCCGGCGUUGCCGUGAGCUGUGGUGUGGGUUGCAGACAUGGCUCAGAUCCUGCGUUGCUGUGGCCCUAGUGUAGGCCGGUGGCUACAGCUCCGAUUCGACCCCUCGUCUGGGAACCUCCAUAUGCCGUGGGAGCGGUCCUAGAAAAGGCAAAAAGACAAAAAAAAAAGAUAAAAAAAAAUUUCAUGAAAUGAGACCGAUUCACUUUUCCAGCAUGUAUUUAUUGAGUCUUUAUCUGGUGCCAGGUCGUUUUAGAUGCUGUGGCUCUCAGCUAACAAAACUGUCAGAAAUGCCGAAUUCUAGUGCAGAGAUGAGACCAUCAGUAAUGUUGUCACUCGACAACAGGUGGAGAUGGGAAGGGGUGACUUUCCAUCCGCCUUUAACCCCGUGGGCUUCAGUCCAGGUGUUUGAAUUGGGUCCAGUUCUUCCUGACCUUGGGUCUGUUGACUCCCAGUGAAUUUAUUCUGUUUGGUAGUAGGCGGUUUCAAGUGCCAGUGUAAACUGUCUUGGGACGCCCCACCCCAGUGUGGUAAGAGAUAGGGCUGCGUGAUCCCAGAUCCUGGAAGAAGGAAAAACCUGCUCUCUCUUUGGAAGAGCACCAGUGAGAGAGCGCUUCAACUCUGCUCCAGAAAUGAUGAUUCUCUUGAUGACUUAAUUUAUCAAACUCCUGGGGAAAAGACAACAGGGCAACACAGUUGAGAAACAUAGCAACAGCUCGGCCGUGGGAUGGCUCUGCUCAGUGGGACGGCCGCGGUCCUUAGGGACGGCAGGCCCCCCGGUCCCUCUCCGAAACCACGGAACGAGUGUCCGGCGUGUGGUGUGUCUGAGCUUCUGAAUGGCUUCAUUUACAAAUGAACUGCAGCCUCACUGCUGCGUCUCUGGGCCAGUUGGGUGGUUCACUUCAGGCUCUGGACACGGGGCCCCACCGUCCUGUCCGUGGACUGUGUGUGUGUGCACAGGCUCCCAUCACAACCGCCAAGUAUGCCAGGCCCAUGCACAGAAGCAGGUAUACACAUAUGCAGGUAUAGACACCUGUGCGUGUGCAUGAACAUGAGAGCGUUUGACCCGAGAAUGCACGGAUUUUAAAGGCUGGUGUGUUGGCUCUGAGCCUGUGCGGAUGCGGCUGGACUCGCAGGUCGGGAUGGAGCCAGCUCGGCAGUUGAGCCCUCAGCAUGUACAAGUUCCCAGGCCAGGGAUCGAACUUGUGUGGUGGCAGCGACCGGAGCCACAGCAGUGACAAUGCCAAAUCCUUAACCUGCUAGGCCACCAGGGAACUCCAUGGAAUCUCUAGUCCAUACAGUAGUUUGCAUUCAUUAGGCACUUUAUGUUCCUUAACGGACUUAUAUUGACGGAUGAGGAACUGAAGCUGAGAGGAGGUGGGCCCCCAGCCUCCAUGGGCCUUCGUAGGGGAAGGUCAGGUCUUCCUCUUGGGGCAUCCUCGUCUCCCCCUGAUGAUCCAAGUAUCCGCAGGGCCCAGGCACAGCCUCCCAGAGCUGCAGAGGGUCCGGCCCAGCCCUGCUGCCACGUAACGUCCCCGGGUGAGGCCGGUUCCCUGAACAGGCUCUGAGCAGGCAUCUCCCCGCAGGAUGCUCCCUGUGUUCAGUGACAGUGCAGGUGUGACAGCGUCCCAGCCCGGAGCGCGGGUCAAAUCGGGACCAGGGGCUCCUGGCCUCCCCUCUUCUCUAGGCGUGAGGCGUGUUCCCUUUACACCUGUUCCCUGGUUGAAGGUGAAGCUCUGGGUAAAACAUGAAGCUGGGUUAAGAUCUAAGACGUGAGCCAGGUGUGUCAAAAGCUUUUGGAAUUGCAAAUUUUUAUACACGACAGGAGCCUGGGAAGAGUUUGCUGAAGGGAGGGGGACAGGUUGGUGGAUAACUGUGGUUCUCGGUGGGGAGACCCAGGCCCUGACUGCUGGGGCGGGUUUGUGCUCAGGGCUGCAGACGGCGCCGCUGCACACCAGGCUGAGAGCUCUGGUCCCAUGGAGUUGCCAGGCCUCCUGCCUCUCUCUCUGCAUCCUUUGAUUUCUUCUCUUCUUAUAUGUUCUUUCUUUCCUCUGGUCAGUCUCUGUAAUUGGCUCAUGAUGAAAAAAGUCAUUACUUUUUUUUUUUCAGUGUCUUUUUGUCCUUUUUAUGGCUGCUCCCGCGGGAUAUGGAGGUUCCCAGGCUAGGGGUCCAAUCAGAGCUGUAGCCGCUGGCCUACACCACAGCCACAGCAACACGGGAUCCCAGCUGCGUCUGCGACCUUCACCACAGCUCACGGCAACACCGGAUCCUUAACCCACUGAGCAAGGCCAGGGAUCGAACCCACAACCUCAUGGUUCCUAGUCGGAUUCGUGAACCGCUGAGCCAUGACAGGAACUCCACUACAUUUUUGAUUAUUAAAAAAAAAUGUUUUUCUAGGUAGAUUUUGGUCCAGAGAUUAGGAAAUGACCUGAUUACUGUAUCUGGCGGCUGCAAGUCUGCAGACUUGGCGCUGGGAGAAGCCACUCUUUCUCUUGGUGACCUUGCCUCCGAUUAAGUCAAGUGGGACGUGUCCAGCGACCGUGCUUGAUCGAGACCAGGGAGACAGCCUGAGGCUGCUGGGGCCCAAGCACCGCGGGGGCACAGGGGGCUGUGGGGCGGGGCCUGGCAGAGCUGUGGUGUCCAAGUCCAGGACGCCAGGCCCUCGGUGGCCCAGGAAGCCGUGCCCGUGGGGGGUGUGGAUGCCGGGGCCCCGCGGACACCAGCCCGGCGCCCGGUGGAGAUGGAGUCGGCCUGCAGUCUUCUCCUCUGGGCCUGCGUCUAGUGCGGCAUCAUCACUGCUUCUAGAUGCGGAGGGCCCCCCCGGGAGGGGGAGGGAAGGGGCCGAAAGGUCAGGUUAUGGCCCCUCCCACUCCUCGCAGCCCCACCCCCACAGCCCAGGCCCUCAGCGUCCACCCCUGAUUCCCAUCCUGGCCCUGCUCUCAAGGACGUCCCUUCUCGGCUCCUCGAUGCCAGGAGAUGCGCUGUUAGUGCCCUUUAAACGCCUGCUGUUGCCCCGAGGUGGGGGUGGGGUGGGUACCAAGGGCUCCCUUCCUGGGAAAGUCACGUAUUGAUCAGCUUUCCAGCUUUAGCACCCCACCCCCGACUCUUGCUCGGUUUGCCCAG